CUCGUAGGCGGCUUGUCACGUCGGAUGUGAAAGCCCGGGGCUUAACCCCGGGUCUGCAUUCGAUACGGGCAGGCUAGAGUGUGGUAGGGGAGAUCGGAAUUCCUGGUGUAGCGGUGAAAUGCGCAGAUAUCAGGAGGAACACCGGUGGCGAAGGCGGAUCUCUGGGCCAUUACUGACGCUGAGGAGCGAAAGCGUGGGGAGCGAACAGGAUUAGAUACCCUGGUAGUCCACGCCGUAAACGUUGGGAACUAGGUGUUGGCGACAUUCCACGUCGUCGGUGCCGCAGCUAACGCAUUAAGUUCCCCGCCUGGGGAGUACGGCCGCAAGGCUAAA
rnacentral:rRNA from 1 species